rnacentral:rRNA from 1 species
UACAGAGGUCUCAAGCGUUGUUCGGAUUCAUUGGGCGUAAAGGGUGCGUAGGCGGCGCGGUAAGUCGGGUGUGAAAUCUCGGAGCUUAACUCCGAAACUGCAUUCGAUACUGCCGUGCUUGAGGACUGGAGAGGAGACUGGAAUUUACGGUGUAGCGGUGAAAUGCGUAGAUAUCAGGAGGAACACCGGUGGCGAAGGCGGGUCUCUGGGCCGUAACUGACGCUGAGGAGCGAAAGCGUGGGGAGCGAACAGG